GUGAGAGAGGGAGGCGACGGCACACGAGAGAAACGAGCGCAUCCUCUGAAUUCCGGUCACUUUCUGCCCGUAGGUGUGUAACGUUAGUUUUGUGUGUACCUGCUCGGUGUGAACGGACGGAGGGCGACGCAGCUGUCUGUUCUUUUAUUGACGCUCAGCAACAGGGCAGAGACCAGGAUGCCGCUGACCGGAGCAGCAGCGUGGCGUACGGGGAGCUCCCGCGACUAGCAGCCCCUGCUCACCGCCACCGCGGGAACAAACCGGAGAGGAGAAUAUGCAAAUGGUUCGAGAGGAAAGAAGUCAACCCGAAUGGAAACGAUGUAGCUUCACCGCCGCACUUCAUAUAGCUCGGAGAAAUAGGGUAGAAAAUAGAUAGCUAGCUAGCUAACGCGCUUAAUUGCCGUCAUACAUGCAAAGUUACUCAUUGCCAGUGAAGCUCCAGGAGCCUGUGGUUGGCUGAAUCAAGAGGAACAGCAGCAGUUUUACGGCGUCUUCAGGUACCAAAGAAGACAGAGGAGUCCAAUAUGCUACGGAGGAGGCUCAAUCUUCUGUUUGGCGGGGAUGAAAAAAGAGUGGACAGCAGGACCAUCUAUGUAGGACAUCGUCCUGGUCCGGCCACUGAGGCCUUUAUCCCACCCAAAUUUUGUGACAACAGGAUAGUGUCUUCCAAGUACACUGUAUGGAACUUUCUGCCAAAGAACCUGUUUGAGCAGUUCAGAAGAAUCGCCAAUUUUUAUUUCCUUAUUAUUUUCCUGGUGCAGGUUAUUGUGGACACCCCGACAAGCCCUGUGACCAGUGGCUUACCCUUGUUUUUUGUCAUCACAGUGACGGCCAUCAAACAGGGUUAUGAGGACUGGCUGCGGCAUAAAGCGGAUAACGAGGUGAAUAAGUACCCAGUGAUAGUGCUGGAGGAUGGACGCAAAGAGAGUGAAAAAAUCAAGGUGGGUGAUAUAGUAGAAGUGAUGGAGGAUGAGACCUUUCCCUGUGACCUUAUUCUGCUGCAGUCCAGUCGAGAUGAUGACACUUGCUUCGUCACCACAGCCAGUCUGGACGGGGAGUCUAACCAUAAAACACACUACACAGUACCAGAUACAGAAAAGGACCUGCAGUCUCUCUCUGCCACCAUCGAGUGUGAACAGCCCCAGCCUGACCUCUACAAGUUUGUGGGCCGGAUGUAUAUUUACAAGACGGGGCAGGAUCCAGCAGUAAGAUCUUUGGGCCCAGAGAACCUGCUUCUGAAAGGGGCAACCUUAAAAAACACCAAGAAGAUUUAUGGUGUAGCAGUAUACACAGGCAUGGAGACAAAGAUGGCUCUCAACUACCAGGGGAAGUCUCAAAAACGCUCAGCCGUGGAGAAAUCUAUCAAUGCCUUCCUGCUGGUAUAUUUAUGCAUCCUGAUAAGCAAAGCAGUGGUGUGCACCACCCUGAAGUAUGUUUGGCAGAGCCAGUUUGGGCAAGAUGAACCUUGGUACAACCAGAAAACUCAGAAGGAGAAGGACACUUAUGUGUAUCUGAAGAUGUUUACAGACUUCCUCUCCUUCAUGGUGCUGUUCAAUUUCAUCAUUCCUGUGUCCAUGUAUGUCACCGUGGAAAUGCAGAAGUUUCUGGGUUCUUUCUUUAUCACUUGGGAUAAAGACUUCUUUGACCCGGAGAUCCAGGAGGGGGCUCUGGUCAACACAUCUGACCUCAAUGAGGAGCUUGGUCAGGUGGAGUAUGUCUUCACAGACAAGACCGGCACACUGACACAGAACAACAUGGAGUUCAUCGAGUGCUGUAUAGAUGGCUUCCAGUACAAGAACACAGACUCCAUGAGUGAGCUGGAUGGGUUCUGUGUCACUGAUGGGCCUGUCAGCAAGCUGCAGCAGAAGGCUGGCCUGGAAAAAGAGGAGCUUUUCCUUCGGGCUCUCUGCUUGUGUCACACGGUGCAAGUGAAGGAGGCAGGGCCAGAUGAGAUUGAUGAGAUUGAUGGGGUUCAGGUGGAUGGACUGGCGGCUGGACUCUCCCAGCCAGAUGAAGAGAGAGGCUUCAUUGCCUCCUCCCCGGAUGAGGUUGCUCUGGUCAAAGGAGCCAUGAAACAUGGCUUCACUUUCCUGGGUUUGGAAAACAAAACUAUGAAGAUAAGGAACUGGCAGAACGAUACUGAAAUAUACGAGUUGCUUCAUGUGCUCAACUUUGACCCUGUACGACGAAGAAUGAGUGUCAUAGUCAGGAACAAGUCAGGGGAAACUCUGCUCUUCUGCAAAGGGGCCGAUUCCUCCAUCUUCCCCAGAGUCAGACCUGAGGAAGUGGACAGAAUCCGUAUGCAUGUUGAGCGCAAUGCUACGGAUGGCUACAGGACCCUGUGUGUGGCCUAUAAGCAGCUCAGCCCAGAGGAAUAUGCUGUGGCAGACGCUGGACUGAGGGAUGCCCGUCUGGCUCUGCAGGACCGGGAGGAGAAGCUUAUGGUUGUUUAUAACCAGGUGGAGACUGAAAUGAGUCUGAUUGGAGCUACUGCAGUGGAGGACAGGUUGCAGGAGGAGGCUGCAGAGACCAUGGAGGCUCUGCAGGGAGCUGGGAUGAAGGUAUGGGUGCUCACUGGAGACAAGAUGGAGACGGCCAAGUCCACAUGUUAUGCCUGCCGCCUGUUUCAGCGUGGCACGGAGUUACUGGAACUGACUGUGCGUACACUUGAAGAUGGAGGGAGGAAGCGUGAAGAGAGGCUUCAUGAGCUGCUGCUAGACUACCAUAAGAAAGCUGUGCAGGAUGCACCACCAGUUAAAGCUGGGGUCACUAGGAGCUGGUCCAAUUCGAAUCAGGAAUAUGGCUUCAUCAUAGACGGAGCCACAUUGUCUUUAGUGAUGAACCCAUCUCCUGAUGCAAAUUCCAGCCGCUACAAGAACCUCUUCCUGCAAAUCUGCCAGAACUGCACUGCUGUGCUCUGCUGCCGCAUGGCUCCGUUGCAGAAGGCUCAGAUAGUGAAACUGGUGAAGAACUCUAAAGGCUCUCCCAUCACAUUGUCUAUUGGUGAUGGGGCCAAUGAUGUCAGUAUGAUCCUGGAGGCACAUGUGGGCAUUGGAAUAAAAGGUAAAGAGGGCCGCCAAGCAGUGAGGAACAGUGACUACGCCAUCCCCAAACUCAAGCACUUAAAGAAGCUUCUGCUGGCACAUGGACACCUCUACUAUGUGCGCAUUGCCCACCUUGUCCAGUACUUCUUCUACAAGAACCUUUGUUUCAUCUUACCUCAGUUCCUGUACCAGUUCUUCUGUGGUUACUCUCAGCAGCCCCUGUACGAUGCAGCCUAUCUGACGAUGUACAACAUCUGCUUCACCUCUAUGCCCAUCCUGGCCUACAGCCUGCUGGAGCAGCACAUAGCCAUCGAGAUCCUGCUUGACAAUGCCACCCUCUACAGGGAGAUAGCAAAGAAUGCUAUGUUGCGAUGGGGUCCCUUCCUAUACUGGACUGUGUUGGGGAUUUACCAGGGACUUCUCUUCUUCUUUGGUGUCAGAUAUCUGUUCAGCAACCCAGCGCUGCAGGACAACGGCCAGGUGUUUGGAAAUUGGUCUUAUGGAACAAUAGUUUUUACAGUCCUUGUUUUCACUGUCACACUAAAGCUGGCUUUGGACACACGCCACUGGACAUGGAUCAACCACUUUGUGAUCUGGGGCUCACUGGCCUUCUAUGUGUUCUUUAGCUUCUUCUGGGGAGGCAUCAUAUGGCCAUUCCUGAGACAACAACGGCUGUACUUUGUCUUUGCUAACAUGCUGAGCUCUGUGUCAGCCUGGUUGGUCAUCAUCCUGCUCAUCCUCCUCAGUCUUUUGCCUGACAUCCUCUUGGUGGUCCUCCGCAAGCCCAGAGGCCCUCAUGCUCGAAAGAUGAAGCGGCGGCUUCCUUCCUCUGGGACUUCCACUAUCUUCAUGCUGUCGCAGACUACCAGCACUCACAGCUUUUCCUGGAGUGACUGAGGGAGGUGCAUACAUCUCUGUCAGGGUCUGUCAGAGGCCUCUCUCAUUCACACGGCCAGAUUGCUGCCGUCACCCCAUUGUCCUACAAGCAUCUGAAAGAGCGCUACUGAAGGACAGCCCAGCCUGGGGUGGAACCUGCUGAAAGGACUGUGAGUGUCAGCCAAGCUGGCUGCCUUUCCUGCUGCCUGGACAGGAAAAUCAAAAAAAUGAGAACAACCUAACUGAACAUUGGGGAAUGAAAAAGAGGAGAACAAAAAAAGCUACUUAGUCCAGGCCAAGAUCCAGCAGUGUGCCAGCCCUCUGUCUUUUUUUUUCCCCCACCCUGUUGCUCGCUCUCUUUCUUCUUCAUCCUUCCCUCUCUCUGUAGCAUGACUUCACCCAAGCAUACUGUGCCGCUGGUCCUUGCAGCAUGUGGCAUUUUUUGACCUUUUACUUUUCAUGACCCAUCCAUUGUCAAGGCAUGUGAUAAAACCUCCUCCCGUAGUUAGCCUGCUGCAAAUGUUGCUUCCUGAGGCAAAUCCAUGGUGAUGGGAUGUUCUGAUUUUCUUUACAUUCUCUGUAGUUCCUCAGUGGUUCUCCUGCAUGAGAGAAGCUAGAGGAACUCAUACCAAUUCUGCUGUUCCUCUGUCAUCGUAGCAGUUUUUGUUCCAGGUUUCUUUGAUAGAAAUAGUUCUUCCCUUUGUGAUCUGAAAUGCCCCAGGCCCAAAUCAUAGUCUAGAAUUAGAGUUUGAGCUUUUAAUUUUAAGCUCUAUAACAUGCUGCACUGACAGCUCUGACCCUAUGGGUAUAAUAAGCUGCCUUUCAGCAACUUGCUGUAUGUCCAAGUCUGUUGAGCGCUGGGUUUGGACGUUUUCACCUGUCGUGCAUGUUUGCGUGAGAAGAAGGUCUGGCCAUGAGUUUGUGUCUUUUCUUUAGUUCACAUUAGAAUUUUGUAUUAAUUUAACUUUCUGAUGAUGCAGGGAUUACUUCGACAUCAGAUUAGUGAUUAUGAAUUAGAUGUGUAUAUUCUGUGCUGUUUGCUGGAAGCCAAAAAAACUUUUUUUGCAGCAUAUCCAGUCCUGCUAAGUGUAAUGUGUUUGUAUGGAGAUGCUCAGUGAUGGAGGUUUGGUCUCCUUUGCUGAAUGUUAGUACACUGCUGAGUCUGAGAUUAACCUGUUUGUGAUACAGGUGAUAUGUCUAGUCUCUGUACUGGCAUUUACACAUAUAUUAUUUAUAUCACUUGAUGUUUUGUCCCUCUUUGGGCCCAUUUGGGCCAGUGCUCACUGUUGAAGGCACAUGUAUACAGCAUGCACUUAAGCACGCAUAGAACGCACACUGCUUCUUUGAGGCAACUGCUCAUAUCAUUGUUUGAGUCAAAGAAAUGGUGGGGGGAGGGGGACUGUGGUGACAUACAAAGUGCCAACUCCAGAGCUCCUGGACACCUGAGUUAGUGCCACUGUGAGGCAUUUUUGCCCUCCGUUAAUACCAACAUGGUUGGUACUGCGGUUAGAAUUGCAUUCGUCUUUACCCCCUUCUUUUUUUUCUUUACUCUUUCUUGCUUCUUCAUACAUUCCAUUUCUACAUGCCAACAUUUCAAUCACUUUCUAGAUCAUUACUGAUUUUUUUUUUUUUCCCCCCUAACUGUGUGAUUCUAUUUGACAUAUUUAUUGUAAUGUGUAAUUUUAGUCACAAAAGUUAUAUUUUUAUGACAUGGAUCUUUUUUAUUGUUGAGAAUGAUCAGCUUGUGCCAAUUGAGUUUUGUCUAUGUAAUCCCUGAUGCUCGGCGAUCGAAUCUGCUCCCACUGAGGGCCUGAACUGCUCUUAGAUCACUAUUUCACAUGCCACUCAGCUGGUUUAAGGCUGGAAUGGUGCAUGCUGUCUGAUCUCAGUAAUAAUCCCUUUAAUGAAUGCUGUUUGACCAUUUCAGUUUAUUUAUACGCUACUAGCCAAAAGUAGGCAUGAAGAAAUCAGAUUUUGGCAUGUUUUUUGAAUGGUUUUCACAAGACAUUUAACCAUUUGGAUCUGAAAGGCAUUGCGGUCUGUUCCAACUUAAACCGCAUGGGCUGUGUGUCUGUGUGUGUGGGUAGCUGUGGGAGCAGUGGUUUGUUAGACCUUUGACUGUGUAAUGAUGCCAAGCAUCUUAAGCCCUAUGCUGUUUCCCUAUGAGCACUCUCAAAUUCUAUCAUGAAUCAUUAUUUUCAGAUGAGAAUAUAGAUAAAAGCUCCAUAAUUGUAUUUUUAUUGAUCUCUGUAAAAGAUUUAUUGAGAAUUGUCUGGGAUAGAUUACCCAACUGUAUGGAUAUUAUCCCCCCCUUUUUUUUCUUUCUCUUUUUUCCCCCCUCAUGUUCUAAAGCGUGGCAACGCCAUCAUUAACCUGAGCCAUGGUGCGCAUGCACACACAUGCAUAUAGCCUGAGGCGCUGAUGUGUGUAUGUUCAGCUCAGAAAGGGGAGGGGUGAAUGGGACCUGCCUGCAGUAUUUCAAUACCCAAAACAGACCUUUAAAUCAGAGAUGCUAUUUUCAAAGCUUAUGAUAAUUCUUGAUUUCUUCUGUUUGCCUGAACAACACAGAAAAGAAAAAAAGUUGAUUGUAUUUUUAAUGCAACCUUUUUUCGAGCCACUGUUUUGUAAGAAAAUGAAAACGUCCAAAAAAAAAGGUGCAUUAGGCUGCCUGAGCGUGGAGGGUGGGGCAGUGUCAGGGCGGUGCUGUAAACACUCGGCCUGUGUCAGGACCCUCUGCCCGGAUCCUCAGGCUCCGGCCUUCUGACCUGAAUGUACCUCUUUAAGACCAGUCUGUUCCAAACAAGAAAAUUCUUUAUGUAAUAAAACAAUUUUCAAACAAAGA